GCGAACGUUGGCGGCAGGCUUAACACAUGCAAGUCGAGCGCCCGUAGCAAUACGGGAGCGGCAGACGGGUGAGUAACACGUGGGAACGUACCCUUUGGUUCGGAACAACACAGGGAAACUUGUGCUAAUACCGGAUAAGCCCUUACGGGGAAAGAUUUAUCGCCGAAGGAUCGGCCCGCGUCUGAUUAGCUAGUUGGUGGGGUAAUGGCCCACCAAGGCGACGAUCAGUAGCUGGUCUGAGAGGAUGAUCAGCCACACUGGGACUGAGACACGGCCCAGACUCCUACGGGAGGCAGCAGUGGGGAAUAUUGGACAAUGGGCGCAAGCCUGAUCCAGCCAUGCCGCGUGGGUGGUGAAGGCCCUAGGGUUGUAAAGCCCUUUCGGCGGGGAAGAUAAUGACGGUACCCGCAGAAGAAGCCCCGGCUAACUUCGU
rnacentral:rRNA from 1 species